rnacentral:rRNA from 1 species
AGAUANGUCGUANCAAGGUAGGUGUAUCGGAAGGUGUACCUAGGAGUAAUAUA